UUUGUAUUGCAUAAAUUACUGCAAAGUCCAUAUUUUUAAAUUACAUCACCUUUAUGUAGGAUACUGUUUAAAGGAAGAUCAAAUCUUGAUAUGUCCACAUAAAGUAUGUUUAAAAAGAAAAAUAAACAUUUAAUUGAGUGUACUUACUUUUUCUUAUAAAUUAGAUACCUUGCAAAUUUGCCUUUUCUGGACAAUAAUUUUAUACGUUCUAGAUGAAACAUCAACGACUAAGGGAAUAAGAAAGGGCAGCAACAGUGUCAGAGAGAAAAGAAUUCAAAAAAGAACAAUAAUAAUCUUAGUGCAAAUUUGGAAAGUUAUAAUCAGCCUGGACCAUGAGGAAUUGAAAACCUUGCAGGUCCAAGUGGAGGCAGAGGAAAAUAAGGAAAGUUAUAAUCAGCCCGGGCCAAGUGGAAUUGAACACCUAACAGGUCUAAGUGGGGGUGGAAAUAAAAGACAAAGAGUAGAAGACAAAGUAGAGCGUCGUAAAGAGGUUCAAAAACGUUGGCGGGAUAUCACAUGCAGAGCAGGUUAGAGAUUAUGAAAUUACUAAAAUUCAAAAGUUUCAACAAACUGAUAGCAAAGAUCACAUUAGCGCUAAUAAGCAGAAAUUAUUACUCUGAGAAAUAACAGAACAGCGAAAAGAGAUUGAAUAUAUGAACAUAGGUGAUAUAACAGAAGUAUGUAGAUAUUGUUCAGCUUUAAAGUUUAAGUUGGAGACUUGUAGAUAACCUAAUUCAUGUUGCCAUCUGGGAAAAGUAGUAUUUCUUCCCAAUGAAGAGGCAUAUCCACGAAAAAUUAAAGAUUUCUUAUUUGGUGAAAGUGAAAUCCACAAACACUACAGGCAAAAUAUCUGAAUCUACAAUAAUCUGUUCGCGUUCGCAUCAUUCAAUGCUCAAAAUGUAGAUUUACAUGAAUCAGGACCAUACAUUAUGAGAAUCUGUGUUCCUGCAACAAUUAAAGCUACUACAAAUUUAAUUUCAAAGAAACCACAAUUUGGUCAGGUUUGUAUUUAUGAUCACAGAGAAGUGAUGCAACAUAGUAUCGAAAGAGUUAAACGAUCAGACGUAUUGGAGAAUCUACAGUCAAUAAUGGAUGCAAAUCCAUAUGUCCAAAAGUAUCGUGCUUUACAUGAAAUUUAUCUGAAAAACACGGUUUCUAUAUGAAUCCGAAAGAUCACACGCGCAUAUAUAAACCAACAUGUGACGAUAAUAGUUUCAAAAGACGGAGAUAUCAAAGACAGAGUUGAUAUUUGUGUUUAUCCAAAAGCACAGAACGAUUCAUCGAAUGCAGCAGAUCUGGGAAAUGACUAGCAUGUAGGUUGGCAAACGAAGCGAGUAGAGGUCAGAGCCCCCUAAAAAAAAAAAAAAAAAAAGUUCAGCAGGGGAUAUUAAUGUCAUGGGGAGUUUUAAUUAUCCAAAAUAUUAACUGGAAGAUCCCUAAAAAUAUUUCAGCAUAAAAACUGGACUUCAUAGAAGUAAUCACUAACUGUUUUUUCGCACAGUAUGUUAAAACACAAUGAGUGGAGAGGCUGGUCUAGGUUUACAAUUCUGUAAUGAUCUGGAUGGAAUUCAGGAGAGCCAUUAAGAUAUGGAGACUAUAAUAUAAUACAUUUCACAGUAUACUUUCAGAACACCUAUUCAAAAUUAAAAUUAAUUUUAGUUUUUAAUUUGAGCAUAUAUGUAAAAGUCUGAAAAGAUUAACUGGGUGAAACAUUUAAGCGUGGUUGUAGUCAAGGAGCAGUGCAGCAGGUUUACAUAAAGACAAACAUCGCAAAAUUUAGGAGCUGGAAGAAGCUAAAGAGAACACCAUCAUGAAUAAAUAAAUGAGUAAAAAAGAAUCUACAAAAAAUAAUAAAUCUAUAAUGCAUACAGGAACAAUACUGAACCAACACUACCUGUAAGUAUUUAUGAUUGCAAUGGUUAAAAUAGGAUAUUAAGAAAGCUAAAAGGUAUUUAGAGAGAAAUAUUGCAGAAAAUACAAAAGAUAACCUAAAGAGAUACUUUCAGUAUUUUAUUAAUAAAAGAACAGUCAAGGAGAAGGCUAAAGUUUUUAUUAGAGAUUAUAAGGGUGAUCUAAUAUAUUGUAAUGGGAGUCUAGGAUGAAUGGACAUCCUGUCCAGGGUGGAUGGGGUUCCAUUUCCUGGACAAGAGGCUGAUAUUGUGGAAGGACAGUGGUAGAUUGUCCUUCAGGCCCAUGUGUUCCUCCAGGCAGGCAGAGCUCCUGACCGGACACCUCAUUGGACUUGUCUGGUGUUUGGACACCCCCUGCAGGGCAAAAUAUACAGACAGUGAGUAUUAUGAAUUCUGUAAAUUUAUAUCUUUCUGAAGUUUUCACAUUUUAUGAAGUCGAUAACCUCCUAGCAGUUACGUGCACUAUUAAGAAGAUACUUCAUGAUUUUGAAAUUGUGGAGGCAGAAGUAUUGCUUAGAUUAAAAACCCUGAAAUCAAACAAAUCCCAAGACUAGUUUACCUUUUUCCUAGAGGUUAAAGAGUAAAUACAGUAUACUGUAUAAGCACACUUACUGUAUAGGGGAAAAUCCUACAGACCCGAAGCAAGCAAAUGUUUUUCCAUUACAUAGAAAAAAUAAUUAGUCUAGUGCAAUUAUCUAUAUGCCAGUAAGGGGUAAAUUAAUGGAAGCAAUUAUUAUGAAAAAGACUGAGCGUCAUAUAGAAGAAUAGGUGUAUAAGUGGACAGUUAGCAUUUGUUUAGACAGGGAGACUAUCUUUUACUAAUACAGUAUACUUUAAUUCUAUGAGAAACCAAUAAGAGCACGCAAUUUAAUUUAAAGGCAGGAGGGUUAUGUUAGGGAAAUUACAUAAUGUUAUAAGUGAGGCCAAUAGUCUUUUUAGUUGUUAUAAAUGAUUUGGAUAAAAGUAUACCUAACAACCUUGUUAAAUUUGUAGUUGAUACUAAUCUCGGUGGAAUGCAGAAAAUGUAGAAUUAUUACAGAUGGACAUGGACAGAAUGCUGACUUGAGCAGGUUUAUGGAUGAUGCAUUUUAAUAUGGCAAUGUAAAGUGUUGCAUUUAGGAAGUAAACCUGUGAGAAUUAAAUACACAUUGAAAGAUGUAAUGUGAACAUUGAAGGUAUACAUUAUAAGAGUAUAGGUGUCAUAGACGGACUUAUAUCUAUCUACAUAUAGACACUGUACAGAAACCAUUAAGCAAACUAAUAGGGUGUUGGGUUAUAGAACCCAAUGUGUGGAGGACAAGUGAUACAACCCACUAUAUAUAAAAUUGCAAAGGGAAUUUUUAUGAUUAUUUGCAAGCUGUUAUUUUAAAAUGUUCUCAACAAAAACACAGGGUCACAGAUAGAAAUUGGUCAAAGGUAAAUUUCUCACACAUGUUAAGUUUUUCCUUUGUCCAGCAAACCAUAGAAUUAUGGAAUAACUGAUUUGUUUUUUGUCAAUUUGUAGAACUAAGUGGACAGUUCCAAUAAGAAGUAUUGUAAUCUCCUAAUUUUCUAAACUGAUCUUUAAACAUUCACAAACACCCUACUCACUGAAUGAUGAAAUGACUUCCUUGUUGAGUACUGAUUGCUGAAGAACUUUUGCUUGUUACAUACCACUCUUGAUGUUAUAACCAGCUGAUCGGAUCAUUUUAAGAAGAGUCAAAUGAACAAAAUUAGUAACAAGAUAAAGCAGUUGAAUUGCCAAAACAAAAACAAGAAUGGGAGUCAAAAAUGAAUGCUAAAGUUGUGCUCCUUAAUAUGUCUUAAAUCUGAAGUGAAUUCACAAUAGUGUUUCUCUUAAAUAAAUCAAAGUAUGGACAUACCCACUCAGUGUGCAGACAUCUAAAAUAGGGGAGUCUUUAUAAGGUACCUGCCACAAUAACUCUGAAUUACCACAAGCAACACAUCAGUUUCCAUGGAAAACAAAAA